rnacentral:lncRNA from 1 species
AAUGCAGCUCCCCCAAGGCAAUGGGGCGUCAGUACAAAAUAAUGUACAGAGUAUGAAAGGCAAUAGACUAUGAUGAGGUAUCCUGAUAUACUGGAAUAAUCUGAUAAAUAAAUCAAGGAUAAGAUAAGUGUACUGACCUGCUCCUAAAUCUAAACUUAUCAAAAAUAAUAAAACAACAACCUAGCCAAGCCCCCAUAAGCUCGGCAGGUACAAACAGCACUCAAGACCACCUACUCAGGCCCCCAUAAGCCCGGAAGGUGCCAAUCAGUCUAUAUACCCCUAUCGAUAGUCCCUUAGCCCUGUAGGCAAUCACAUAGCCCUCUUAGGCAUUAAUAUAGCCCCAUAACAGCACAUAGUUCUCUUAGGUAUCAACAUAGCUUAUAGACAACUCAUAGCCCUCUUAGGCAACAACAUAGCCAUGUAGGAAGCCCAUAGCCUUCUUAGGCGUCAAUAUAGCCCUAUAGGCAACUCAUAGCCCUUCUAGGCAUCAAUAUAGCCCCGUAGGCAACAUAUAGCCCUUUUAGUUAUCCAUUUA